UUUCACAGCUAAACCAACGAACAAACCAGAAUGUCCCUUCGCAAUUUUUCGAAACCCUAGACCUCACUGAAAAUUGCAUUUGGAUUUCCACGCUCUGAUCUUCAAAAAUCAAUACCUUCUUCGAUUCAUAACUCUAAUUCUCCAUUAUUCGUCUUUCUAGUCUCUGAAAUUUUGAGUUCAGGUCUAUUCAUGUCUCGUAUUGAGCCCUAUGUUUCGGAUUCUUGCUCGGAGCAACAGUUUUCGCUACAAGAGGCUACCGCCGCAGCUUCUCCUCCUCCUCCUCUCCGUGCUAAAAUUGGACGGCUCUUCUUUCGCGUAGAAAGUCAGGACCUAUGGUCCUAGGUGCGAGUUGCAAGGACGGCGACGGUGGCAGCAGUUAGAGACGCGGUGGAGAGUGUUUUCUGUGGAAUGUCGAUGAAUAAAGAAGAUGACAAGAUUUCUUGGCCACAUGUGCGGUGUCAUUUUUGCUUAUGCUAUAAGCAUUACAAGCUGAUCGACGACAAAUCACGUAUCAAACAGUUUGAAAUCAUAGAUGUUGAUAAGCUGCAUUUUGUGAACCGUGUAGCUUAAUUUGUGGCAAGAAUCUGUGGAUUUGAGAUGUCCCAUCAAAGAAUAAAUAGAUUGAGCAAGGUAAGCGGGUUGAACGGCUUCCGGUAUAAAGUGGUCAGAAGGUUUUGGGCGUGUGAAUUAUUAUGAAGUGAUCAGAUGGGUCUUUUUCUGAUGUUAAAUUGGAAGUUUUGGUAUAAUAUAAACAGUACGAAUUUCAUUUCAUUUCUGCCACUCAAGACUGUACUUUUCUUUCUCUCAAUUCAGAAAUAUAGUCCUUUACAAGAUCGGUCUCUAAGGUACAGGAAGAAUGGCAAUGAAAAUGCCCAAGUGAUCUGAAAUUGAUACAUUUUCUAAAUCUGAAAUAAUGAAUAUCAUUGCCUAUCUACAUGUAUCGGAAUGAACAUCAAUUACCACCAACUUCUACUUUCCUCUUGGGGAGAGGAUUUGGAGAUUGAUCACCUUACAUGCUGCUUUCCGAUGUUCAAUGGAGAAGCUCUGAAGUUUUGGGAGUAGGUUAGGCC